CAGCUUCCUCAUUAAGCAACACUAUUAUCUUCCUCUAGAAGCUAAACAUUGUUCUCACCCACACUUACCGUCUUCUUUGAAAUUUCACAUCUUUUUUUCACCUUCAACUCCCUAACUAAUUUCAAUCAAGAUUCAAGAAUUUUUAUAACAAUUUUGCUUCCUCAAGGUCUACUCCAAAAUUGAACCACCAAACACAAAGCAAACUACUUAUGAUUCUUUAUAUGUUUAUAUGAUUCUGGAAUUUACACAUGUGGUGUUUAUUGUAAGAAAUACACAGAUAGGCAAUUACAAAUCUUGAUGAAUAUAAACUCUUAUAUGAAAUCCUACAACUGUUGUCGUUUUGAAUCGUGGCUGAGCCCCUAUGUAGAUGUAUGUGUGAGUGUCGAGAUCGGGGAGGCGGCAGCCCGAUGACUCGUCGUCGGUAGGCGGCUGAGGCAUGAUGGCGGCAGAGCCGCCACUGUUUCUGUUCGGCCGAAAGGGGAGAAAGGGAAGGGGAUAGAAGAUUUCAGUUUUUCGUUGAAUAAAAGAGAUGAUUAGGGCUUCAAUUUAGAAAGAAAGAAA